rnacentral:rRNA from 1 species
UGGGAACGUACCCUUCGGUUUGGAAUAACUCUGGGAAACUAGAGCUAAUACCGGAUACGUCCGAGAGGAGAAAGGUUUACUGCCGAAGGAUCGGCCCGCGUCUGAUUAGCUAGUUGGUGGGGUAAUGGCCUACCAAGGCGACGAUCAGUAGCUGGUCUGAGAGGAUGAUCAGCCACAUUGGGACUGAGACACGGCCCAAACUCCUACGGGAGGCAG